ensembl:lncRNA
AUGAAGAGGGAGCCGGAAAACAGGAGCUGCACCAGGUGCAGCAGCAGCAGCACUGUUGCUUGCUACAAUACACAGAUUAUUCUCCAGGAGAAAAUAAAUACAUCAUUUGAACCAAGAGUCUCCAGGAGUGCCAAGAUUCAGGCUGGAGAGAAGGAGAAGGCAACGCAGAGCCUGCUUCAAGAAAAGCCUCCAGCAGGUGCACAGAAUGGGAAGCACACACAGCAAGUAACCAGGGAGGGUGUCCUCCUUGGUGACCCGCAACUCAGGAGAGAAGGGAUCCUAGCUACAAAGUCAUCUUCUGGGGAUUCCUCCCAACUGACGCUUUUCAAAAUGCUGGCACAGGCCCAGCUGGAGACAGCUUUGGAAGCUGCCAUCACAUCCUGUUCCUCCUCCCAGAGCCCUGCUUGGCCUCGCUGGCUGGGGAUUUAUGCCCCUCUUUGCCAAGCCGCCCUGAUGAAUCGCUUCCAGGAUGGCAGCGAAGUCAAUGGUAUUCAUCUCACCGAUGUCUCAACCUUCUCCUUUAAAUCAUUGCUCAUGUUGGCAGCCGUUUGUUCUCUCCUGACAGCCUGGCCCAGGCCUGGCUGCUCCAUUAGUGAGACUCCCAGCCAGAGAAGAGCCUGCAGGGCUUGGCAGGGACUAGAGGAGCCUCUGCAACCUUUCCCUCAAAUGCCAUCCCUUCUUUACCUGGCCAAGCUUUCAUUUGGUCACCUGAAGUCUGGGAAGCCAACCCUAGAGCCCUAAAGGAUUCCCGUCAGGCACACCUCUCACCUAUCACUUACCGUAUUAUAUAAAAAGUAUCUGUUGAUAUUACCAGGCUAUUAGUACUUCUAGGCCAUGGACGUGCAUGCUUCCUCUCAGUAUUCCCAAUGCCUAGUGGAGUGCCUGGCUCAUAAUAGGUACUCAGUGACUGUUUGAUAACAAACUGUUUAAAUCGUGGAGUGGAUGCAACCUCUUUGGAAAACUCUCUGGCAGUCUCUGCUGAAGCUAACCAUACCUAUGCUGUAUGACUCACUGGAGCUUAUAUCCAACAAAAAUGAGGGCUUGUGUCUACCAAAGACAUGUACAAGAAUGUUCAUGGCAAACUUAUUCCUAUAGGCCUAAACUAAAAACUGCCCAAAUGUCUAUCAACAGUAAAAUAGCCAAAUAAAUUACAGCUAUGUUUAUUCAAUGAUUCGAUUGCAUUUGUGUUAAUGCAGCAAUGAAAAAGGACAAAGUACUAUUCAUACAAUAUGGAUGAAUUUCACAUUUAAAAUGUCAAACCAAAGAUGCCAGAUACAGAAGGGAAUAUAGUGUAUGAUUACAUUUAUAAGAAAUUCCAAGACAUGCAAAAGUUAUCUAUGAUAAUUAGAGGUCAGAAUAGUUAUCUUGGAGGGGUGGAUAGUGAUAGUGGUGGUGGUUAUUGACUGGGAGGAGAUAUGAGGAAGCCCUCUAGGGUAUUGGAAAUGUUCUAAAUUUUGAUCUGGGUGGUAGUUAUACAGGUAUACAUAUACAGUAUACAUAUGUAAAAUGUUUAGAUAUACAGUAUACAUAUGUAAAAAUUCAUUGGGCUAUACACUUAUUACCUGUAUACUUUACUGUAUGUAAGUUAAAUCUUAUUAAAGAUGGUAAAGAAAAUCUGAAAUGGCUCUCAAUCAUUUUGUAAUCUGUGCCUCAAUGUAGUCUCACACUACUGCGUAUCUAAAACUAAACAAAACUAUUACAUUGAGUUGUCUCUAUGUUUAAGAUUAUGAAAACAAUUGACAAAUGCAUGUGCAUUUUUUUAACUACUCAAGAGAAUGCCCUCUGGAAAUGUUAAACAUAUCACUCCCCGCUUCCCAACACCCUGAGUGCAAAUAAUCACAUUCAAGAAUAUUUACUUCUUAGCACAAAAGAGAUUCAUUGCUUCCCAAGACCAUGUCUCAUUAGAGUGAGAUUAUAGGAACUAAGAAUUAGUAGCUCAUAAAGAUACAGGAGUUAGGAGGGGUAGGAAGCUGUCAUAGAGGAGAAGCAAAGGGGGCUUGUGUCCAAGAACCUCAGCAUCCUUGAGAGGUCUGAAUUCAAGGUCUGUCCCAAGAAGAGCAAAGGGCAUAGAACAUCCCUUAUCUUAUCUCAGCUUAGUUCCCUGAAAACUAAGCCAUGUAUGCCCUGUGAAUCAGAUGCUCUUGGAUAUACAUGGGGCUGACAGCUUGAACCACUGCAAUCAGUUUGGGUGAAGACAGGAGCUAUGUGGGAACAAAGGGGACAAGGUGUCAAAGCCAGGUCCAAAGACAAGCGCUGGCACUCAG